UGUAAACAUCCUACACUCUCAGCUGUGAACUGAGGUGGCUGGGAGAGGAUUGUUUACU
rnacentral:pre_miRNA from 1 species